CCUACGGGAGACAGCAGUGAGGAAUAUUGGUCAAUGGACGCAAGCCUGAACCAGCCAUGCCGCGUGCAGGAAGACGGCUCUAUGAGUUGUAAACUGCUUUUGUACGAGGGUAAACGCACAUACGCGUAUCUGUCUGAAAGUACCGUACGAAUAAGGAUCGGCUAACUCCGUGCCAGCAGCCGCGGUAAUACGGAGGAUUCAAGCGUUAUCCGGAUUUAUUGGGUUUAAAGGGUGCGUAGGCGGUCGGAUAAGUUAGCGGUGAAAUCCCGAGGCUCAACUUCGGAAUUGCCUCUGAUACUGUUCGGCUAGAGAGUAGUUGCGGUAGGCGGAAUGUAUGGUGUAGCGGUGAAAUGCUUAGAGAUCAUACAGAACACCGAUUGCGAAGGCAGCUUACCAAGCUACUUCUGACGUUGAGGCACGAAAGCGUGGGGAGCAAACAGGAUUAGAUACCCCAGUAGUC
rnacentral:rRNA from 1 species